CCCUUAGAUGUUCUGGGCCGCACGCGCGCUACAAUGAUGCAGGCAACGAGUGCUGCUCCUUGGCCGAAAGGCUUGGGGAACCUUGAAAACUGCAUCGUGCUAGGGAUAGAUGAUUGCAAUCGUGCAUCUUGAACGAGGAAUGCCUUGUAAGCGUGAGUCAUCAACUCGCGCUGAAUACGUCCCUGCCCUUUGUACACACCGCCCGUCGCUACUACCGAUUGAAUGGCUUAGUGAGGCCUCAGGAUCCGCGCUUAAUGUGUGGAGAAUUUGGACAAACUACGUCAUUUAGAGGAAGUAAAAGUCGUAACA
rnacentral:rRNA from 1 species